ACUCCUACGGGAGGCAGCAGUGGGGAAUAUUGCACAAUGGGGGAAACCCUGAUGCAGCCAUGCCGCGUGUGUGAAGAAGGCCUUCGGGUUGUAAAGCACUUUCAGUAGGGAGGAAGGUAGUGUAGUUAACACCUGCAUUAUUUGACGUUACCUACAGAAGAAGCACCGGCUAACUCCGUGCCAGCAGCCGCGGUAAUACGGAGGGUGCGAGCGUUAAUCGGAAUUACGUGGGCGUAAAGCGCAUGCAGGCGGCCUGUUAAGUCAGAUGUGAAAGCCCGGGGCUUAACCUCGGAAUUGCAUUUGAAACUGGCAGGCUAGAGUCUUGUAGAGGGGUUAGAAUUUCGAGGUGUAGCGGUGAAAUGCGUAGAGAUCUGAAGGAAUACCAGUGGCGAAGGCGGCCCCGUGGACAAAGCUGACGCUCAGAUGCGAAAGCGUGGGAGCAAACAGGAUUAGAUACCCCGUGGUAGACUGUCA
rnacentral:rRNA from 1 species